rnacentral:lncRNA from 10 species
ACUUAUAUAUGUAUAUAAAAUAUGUACAUAUAUAUAAAAAUAUCUAGCAUUAUGCCUGGCCUGUAGUGGUUACUCAAAUGCCAGAUGAAUUUUAAUGACUAGCACUCAGCCUUACCUAAAAAGACAAGAACAUCUUGCAAGUAAUUGCUUCUGUCUUCUAAGAUAACUGCUGCUGUUUGGCAACACAGUAGGGACUCCCAGUAGAAGCAACCUUGCUCUCAUUGCAUCUGCUCCAGAGAAAUCAAGAAAUAAUUACCUUUUUAUUUGGAGACUUGAUUGAUGCAUCAGCCUUCCCCGUGGCUGUAGAGAGAUAAACUGGGCCAAAGAGAAUAACCUGGAUUUUAUUCUGCCUUGAUUACUCCUGUUGCAGGGAUAAUUUGAGUUCAGGGCGGGAAGUACCACAGCUGAUUAAAGAGAGGACCUUGGGCACAUCAACUCUCAAAUAUCUUGAUUACAGAAAUUGGAGGCUCCCAUUCCAUGUUCAUGAAUACUGUGAAAAUGUGACAUCCUGCAUUGCCAAGGUAGCUGUCUGAAUUAUAUGAAUACAAGGAGAUACAGGGUUUAAUGAUCAGCGGCAAUGUCAAGGACUGGAAUCAUGACAGGAACAAGUACUGCUUCCUAAAACACAGUGUAAAUGAUUUAUAGUUGAAAAUGGCAAUCACUUCAAUUUAUAUUGAUGAAAAUAGAAUUCUUUUAGAAAGUCUCUAUUUAAAAAAAAAUAUGCCUCUUUCAGUGAUGAUAGCUACAUGACUACCCCAUAUUACCAGUUGAAAAUUAACAUUAAAAUACCUUUCACCUACAUAAUCUUUGGAAUGGAUGUGGAAAAUAUUCAGAUUACCAAAGGUUGUAAACACUUCAAUCGUAAUGCUUUUUUUUUAACUUGGCUAGUUUCUUAUACUUAAAAAAAUAAAAAUAACUAAAAAUACACUUAAAACUGUCUAUAUUUUAUAAACAUUAAUUAGGUAAAUAGGGGAGGCAUAAGAAUAGUGGAAGGCUUUGUACAGAAAGAUUCAGUGCUCUUAGUAAAUGUCAGUAAGGUAUAAUGAGAGGAGAGCAGUGUUACAAUUGAGAGCAGCUAGAUUCAAAUCUUCAUCACCAUACACUAGCUGUGUGGAAUUACGCAAAUCAUUGUAUCCCUUUGAAUUUUACUGUCCUACUCAAAAAGUUGAGAUGACAAAUAGAACUAUUGGUUAAAAGUUUCUAGAAGUUUUCAUGUCAUUGUAAAUGUAAUAUGCUACGUAGAUUAUUUUAAAGCACUGCGAAACUGUUCAACAUUUUCAUUAACAAUAUUAGCUAAAAUGUAAUUAAUUUAUCAAGGAAUAAAUAAAAUAUGUUAAACCCAGUGUGAAGUCCACAGUAGGUCUUCGAUAAUGGUGAUAAAUGAAAGUUGUAUUGAAUAUGUUAUUUAUUGUCUUUAUUUUUCAUUAAAAAAUCUGCUAAAUGUUGAAUGAUGAGUACUUCAAUUCAUGUAAACAAAGUUAACUGGUCAAAUAAACAUUAAAAAUAUUAAGUGAUAUUGAUGCUAGUAAUAUUUGUUCAAUGUUGUAGUGG